rnacentral:rRNA from 1 species
CCUACGGGUGGCUGCAGUCGAGAAUCUUCGGCAAUGGGCGCAAGCCUGACCGAGCGACGCCGCGUGCGGGAUGAAGGCCUUCGGGUUGUAAACCGCUGUCGUAGGGGAGGAAAUGCCGGGGGGUUCUCCCCUCGGGUUGACCUAUCCUAGGAGGAAGGACGGGCUAAGUUCGUGCCAGCAGCCGCGGUAAUACGAACCGUCCGAACGUUACUCGGAAUCACUGGGCUUAAAGGGUGCGUAGGCCGCUCGGAGGGUGGGAUGUGAAAUCCCCCAGCUCAACUGGGGAAUAGCGUCCCAAACCGCCGGGCUUGAGGGAGACAGAGGUGAGCGGAACUGAUGGUGGAGCGGUGAAAUGCGUUGAUAUCAUCAGGAACACCAGUGGCGAAAGCGGCUCACUGGGUCUUUCCUAACGCUGAGGCACGAAAGCUAGGGGAGCGAAC